AAGACGGUGGCGCCGGCGCUCAGCUGUCUGCCUGCAGAGAGGAACAGAAUGUGCUACUGUGAGUGAUGAAAGGAGAAAGCAUCUCCUUCAGGACAGUGCCACGAGUGAGGCAUGAGGGGGUCCAGAAGAAACUUCCCAAGAUUCAGAAUGAAAGGAUGAUGACCACAGGGGACAGCAAGCUGCAUUUCUGGAGAAUGUUCUUUAUCCAUCAAUGUUAUUUCAUGAAGUUUGAAGAGCAAUACGAAGGAUUUGAGAACAAAACACUCUCAGCGAGAAAAACUGCACCAUUUUGGCAAUCCACUUACAAGGUGUGUUUUCACAGGAGAGCUGAUCCUAAAACGAUUUAUUCCUGAAGCCCUCUUUCUCCUAAGAAGCUCCACCUGGAUCUCUUAAAGCACAAUUCCUUUAUAACCCUUACUUUCUGGAGAUAAAUAUCAUGGCCCUAUAAGCUGUACAUAUUUCUGAGGGAAGAGGUGUCCUGUUGUUGUCAGCAUCACAAUUUCCCAUUAGUGGCAUAUUUGGAGCUUGUAGCUAAACAUUAAUAGACUGUGUUAAGGCACAAAUCCCUAUAGAGCAGUUGUUCUGGUCGAACAUUUAAAUAAUUAACAAUAUCCCCAUAGAGGAAGUCAGGUCUCUAAGCUCCUUCACCAUGAGGGGCUGAAUGAUUUUGGAAUGAUUUGUUGUCAUUAAAAGGAAUGUUCU